rnacentral:rRNA from 1 species
GACGAACGCUGGCGGCGUGCUUAACACAUGCAAGUCGAACGAUGAACCACUUCGGUGGGGAUUAGUGGCGAACGGGUGAGUAACACGUGGGCAAUCUGCCCUGCACUCUGGGACAAGCCCUGGAAACGGGGUCUAAUACCGGAUACUGAUCCUCGCAGGCAUCUGCGAGGUUCGAAAGCUCCGGCGGUGCAGGAUGAGCCCGCGGCCUAUCAGCUAGUUGGUGAGGUAACGGCUCACCAAGGCGACGACGGGUAGCCGGCCUGAGAGGGCGACCGGCCACACUGGGACUGAGACACGGCCCAGACUCCUACGGGAGGCAGCAGUGGGGAAUAUUGCACAAUGGGCGAAAGCCUGAUGCAGCGACGCCGCGUGAGGGAUGACGGCCUUCGGGUUGUAAACCUCUUUCAGCAGGGAAGAAGCGAAAGUGACGGUACCUGCAGAAGAAGCGCCGGCUAACUACGUGCCAGCAGCCGCGGUAAUACGUAGGGCGCAAGCGUUGUCCGGAAUUAUUGGGCGUAAAGAGCUCGUAGGCGGCUUGUCACGUCGGUUGUGAAAGCCCGGGGCUUAACCCCGGGUCUGCAGUCGAUACGGGCAGGCUAGAGUUCGGUAGGGGAGAUCGGAAUUCCUGGUGUAGCGGUGAAAUGCGCAGAUAUCAGGAGGAACACCGGUGGCGAAGGCGGAUCUCUGGGCCGAUACUGACGCUGAGGAGCGAAAGCGUGGGGAGCGAACAGGAUUAGAUACCCUGGUAGUCCACGCCGUAAACGGUGGGCACUAGGUGUGGGCAACAUUCCACGUUGUCCGUGCCGCAGCUAACGCAUUAAGUGCCCCGCCUGGAGACGCCCCCACGU